GAUUGGAUUUUCAUAGAUUGGAAGAUAAUGUGCAAGAAUAAGCUCAAUAGAGUAUUUUUUAUUGAUAAUACUCUCGAAGAUUUUCAAAAUUUUAGGUACGGGGAGAUCAGUAUUUUGCAGGAUAAACUCAAUCCUGAGGUCGGUAUAACCUCGACCCAAAGGUUGGUAUUUUGUAGAGCUAAAAAGAUAAUCUCGACCA
rnacentral:lncRNA from 1 species